rnacentral:rRNA from 1 species
AUGGCUGGCCAGGUCGACUACGAGAUAAACAAAAGAGGGGGUGCACCGUAUGUUUUUCGCUUGAAUGGCCAAAACUAUCAUCAAAUUGGCACAUUGCUACCUAAAGAUAGUGGAGAUAAUGGUUGCACGCCAAAGUUUGCUCAAUUGUACAUUUAUGAUACAGAAAAUGAGGUCAAAAACAGAAUGCAGGCUUCAACCUCAAAGGAAAGGAAAACACAACUAGAUGAAGGCAUCGUGUCUAGAUUAUUGGAGAUGCUUGAUGAGAACAACGAGUUAGUGAAAUCAUUCCGUAUGGCAAGGGAUAGAUACCAAGAGUCAGAUCUCGAAAAUGUUAGGUUGCGAUUAAUUGGUAAAAGGUCCAGCGAUGGAAGACAAUACAACCUACCAACUGCAUCUGAAAUAGCUGCACUCAUUGUUGGGGAACAAACAGGAGAAAAUGUUGGCCGGGAUAUAAUAGUAGAAAAUAAAGACAAACAACUCCAGAGAAUUUCAGAACUACAUCCAAGCUUUAUGUCUAUGCAAUACCCAUUAUUAUUCCCGUACGGAGAAGACGGAUUCAGACCAGAAAUAAAAUUAGAAAAAACAAAGGGUGGCGAAGGAAAGAGAAAGCAUGUUACCAUGAUGCAGUAUUAUGCAUAUCGCAUCCAGCAACGAGUGAACCAGUCAGUAGUCUUGCAAACGAGUGGCAAGUUGUUCCUUCAGUUCAUUGUUGAUGCAGCAACAUGCAUUGAGCAAUGGAGGCUUCAUCAUAUAAUGGAAGUCCUAGGAAUAAACAGCAGUAUUACCACGACGCAAUGGCGAUAUGUCGGUGGGCUGGAUAUCCAGAUCUGUUUAUCACUUUCACAUGCAACCCAAAGUGGCCAGAAAUACAGACCAUGUUGGACUUCCUUGAUGCACGAUACCUAUCUGCAGGUGAAGCAUCUUGGCGUAUAUUUGGAUUUGAACUUCAGCAUCGGCAGCCUUCUGUACAGAGACUGCAAUUCCACCUUCAAGAUGAACAAAUGGUUGUGUUCCCGGACUCAACUGAUAUUGAGCAAAUCGUACAUAGAACUGGGGGAAGAACUGCACAUUCAAGAUUUCGCAUCCCACUCAACAUCAUUAAUGAGUCCACAUGUGACAUCAAGCAAGGAUCUUGUCUUGCAGACCUGCUAA